GGGGGUAUAGUUCAAUUGAUAGAAUGCUGCUUUUGCACAGCAGAGGUUAGCGGUUUGAGCCCGCUUACCUCCA
rnacentral:tRNA from 1 species